UACGAAGGGGGCUAGCGUUGCUCGGAAUUACUGGGCGUAAAGCGCACGUAGGCGGAUCUUUAAGUCAGGGGUGAAAUCCCGAGGCUCAACCUCGGAACUGCCUUUGAUACUGGGGAUCUCGAGUCCGGGAGAGGUGAGUGGAACUGCGAGUGUAGAGGUGAAAUUCGUAGAUAUUCGCAAGAACACCAGUGGCGAAGGCGGCUCACUGGCCCGGAACUGACGCUGAGGUGCGAAAGCGUGGGGAGCAA
rnacentral:rRNA from 1 species